rnacentral:rRNA from 1 species
UAUUGCACAAUGGGGGAAACCCUGAUGCAGCGACGCCGCGUGAGUGAAGAAGUAUUUCGGUCUGUAAAGCUCUAUCAGCAGGGAAGAAAAUGACAGUACCUGACCAAGAAGCCCCGGCUCACUACGUGCCAGCAGCCGCGGUAAUACGUAGGGGGCACGCGUUAUCCGGAUUUACUGGGUGUAAAGGGGGCGUAGACGGUUAUGUAAGUCUGGAGUGAAAGCCCGGGGCCCAGCCCCGGGACUGCUUUGGAAACUGUGUAACUGGAGUACAGGAGGGGCAGGCGGAAUUCCUGGUAUAGCGGUGAAAUGCGUAGAUAUCAGGAGGAACACCGGCGGCGACGGCGGCCUGCUGGACUGAAACUGACGUUGAGGCUCGAAAGCGUGGGGAGCAAACAGG